ensembl:lncRNA novel transcript
GCACCAGUGGGAAUGACAGUCAAGAGAACCACGGAGAUGCCAGCCCCUGGACCCACAGCAGCAGCACCUGCUUCCAGACUCAGAGUGUGAGAAAAAAAUAAACUCCUAUUUGUUUAUGGCAAGAGACAAGGUCUAGCUCUGUGAUGCAGGCCGGAGGACAGUGGUGUGAUCACAGCUCACUGCAGCCUUGAACUCCUGGGUUCCAGCAAUCCUCCCACCUCAGCCUCCUUAGUAGGCGUGGCUACAGUAAUGGAAGACAGCAAAAGAAGUUUGGAGAUUCCUGGUUUAAAGCAUUUAAAGCCUCUGUGAAAAUUUGCCCAGGCCAACAACUUCACUUUCCACACUCAGUGCCACGAAGUGCAGCUCUAAGCUGGGGAUUUCUGUGCAGAGAUGAUCCACUGAGUGCAACCCACCACCGUGCGGACACCACCCCUGCAGAAUC